AUAAUGGGUCAGCGACUUAUAUUCUGUAGCAAGGUUAACCGAAUAGGGGAGCCGAAGGGAAACCGAGUCUUAACUGGGCGUUAAGUUGCAGGGUAUAGACCCGAAACCCGGUGAUCUAGCCAUGGGCAGGUUGAAGGUUGGGUAACACUAACUGGAGGACCGAACCGACUAAUGUUGAAAAAUUAGCGGAUGACUUGUGGCUGGGGGUGAAAGGCCAAUCAAACCGGGAGAUAGCUGGUUCUCCCCGAAAGCUAUUUAGGUAGCGCCUCGUGAAUUCAUCUCCGGGGGUAGAGCACUGUUUCGGCAAGGGGGUCAUCCCGACUUACCAACCCGAUGCAAACUGCGAAUACCGGAGAAUGUUAUCACGGGAGACACACGGCGGGUGCUAACGUCCGUCGUGAAGAGGGAAACAACCCAGACCGCCAGCUAAGGUCCCAAAGUCAUGGUUAAGUGGGAAACGAUGUGGGAAGGCCCAGACAGCCAGGAUGUUGGCUUAGAAGCAGCCAUCAUUUAAAGAAAGCGUAAUAGCUCACUGGUCGAGUCGGCCUGCGCGGAAGAUGUAACGGGGCUAAACCAUGCACCGAAGCUGCGGCAGCGACGCUUAUGCGUUGUUGGGUAGGGGAGCGUUCUGUAAGCCUGCGAAGGUGUGCUGUGAGGCAUGCUGGAGGUAUCAGAAGUGCGAAUGCUGACAUAAGUAACGAUAAAGCGGGUGAAAAGCCCGCUCGCCGGAAGACCAAGGGUUCCUGUCCAACGUUAAUCGGGGCAGGGUGAGUCGACCCCUAAGGCGAGGCCGAAAGGCGUAGUCGAUGGGAAACAGGUUAAUAUU
rnacentral:rRNA from 1 species